AUAUUUUAUCUCCCUCUCUCAAUUCAAACACGAAAUGGUCUGGGAAGUCUUUGUUAAUGUGCUGCAAUGGGUAAAAGGACGCAGACGAAGAAUAGAAAGAUGGUCAAAUAGUCGCCCACUUGAUCGGUCUUUCUUUACUUUUUCCAACCCAAGCCCUAACAUUCUCUCACCUUAUUCAGCGUAGAUACUGAGAAUCGAAGUGAAUGGAGUGUCCAUUUCUCUGCGAAUAAUCACAAAAAAUGCCGAAUUUCCAUGUCCUUACAUUCGAAUCCAUCUUUUCCUCUUUCAAUUGGUGUAGAUUUCACUCCAUUGGGUAACAAAUUUGAAUCCACAGCUUGUUAUACCAUUCUAUAAUAUCGAUUGGUUUUGUUCGAAUUCUGGUUGCGAGUGGUGACAUGAAGAUCGAAGAGUUGGACGAUGAUGUAAAAUACGAUCAAGAUCGUGUUGGUGGAGGAGGACAGAUUGUUCAGGUCGAUGCGAAGAGAGCAUUAGUUGGAGCGGGGGCUCGGAUCCUAUUCUACCCGACCCUGUUGUACAAUGUGUUCAGCAACAAGAUUCAAGCCGAGCUUAGAUGGUUGGACGAAGUUGAGCAGAGACAUGCGGGAAGCUUGUUAGAAGACUUUACACAAAGGUAGAUCAGCACGCUAGCAGUGAGUGGAAACUUUUUGGUUGCUGGAGGCUUAAGCUUUCAAGGAGAACUUACUUGUAAGAUUUUUGGAUGGGCUCAUGCAAUAAGACUUCAAGCUCUUUUUGUUUAAAAUAGUUUAAAUAGUGUAUGUCCAAGUCUUUGAACCAUUUGUUUAGGAAUCUAUAUCUCAUUUUUGUCUAGGAUCUUGAAACAUUUUAUUUAAGAUACUAGCUUGUUUUGAUCCAAAUUAUUGGAGUUAAAAUUGUUUUAGAUGCUAAGACUCAUUUUUUUACACGAUGGGCUUUAUUAUGUGUUGUAAACAAUACAUUUUUUGGUUGGUGUAACUUAUACAAUAUCAAGUAUUUAUUUGUUUGCAUAAUCGUGUUGAUGUGAUAAUUUAUUUUUUUUUAUUAUUAUUUUUUUUUAUAAUGUUUCUUUUGUUUAUAAUGUUAAUAAUUUAUAGGUUUGCCACAAAUUCUUAUCGUGUCACGAUAAAUAUGUGGCUUAUUUUUGGUAUUUGCCACAAUAUAUAUUUUUGGUUAUUAAAUUAAAUUUUAUUUUAUUAAUAAUAGAAUAGCCACGGAUAAACUCCAUGGCCU